rnacentral:rRNA from 1 species
CCUACGGGAGGCAGCAGUGAGGAAUAUUGGUCAAUGGGAGGAAUCCUGAACCAGCCAUGCCGCGUGCAGGACGACGGCUCUACGAGUUGUAAACUGCUUUUGUACCGGGGUAAAAUGCUCUACGAGUAGGGUUUUGAAAGUACGGUUAGAAUAAGGAUCGGCUAACUCCGUGCCAGCAGCCGCGGUAAUACGGAGGGUCCGAGCGUUAUCCGGAUUCAGUGGGUUUAAAGGGUGCGUAGGUUGUUUUAUAAGUUAGCGGUGAAAGACCGAUGCUCAACAUCGGGGCUGCCGCUGAUACUGUAGGACUAGAGAUAGGGUGCAGCAGGCGGAAUGUGUAGUGUAGCGGUGAAAUGCAUAGAUAUUACACAGAACACCGAUUGCGAAGGCAGCUUGCUAGGCCGGAUCUGACACUGAUGCACGAAAGCGUGGGGAUCGAACAGGAUUAGAUACCCGAGUAGUC